GAUGAAGAACGUAGCGAAAUGCGAUAAGUAAUGUGAAUUGCAGAAUUCAGUGAAUCAUCGAAUCUUUGAACGCACAUUGCGCCCGCCAGUAUUCUGGCGGGCAUGUCUGUCCGAGCGUCAUUUCAACCAUCAAGCCCCGGGCUUGUGUUGGGGACCUGCGUCCGACGCAGGCCCUGAAAACCAGUGGCGGGCUCGCUGUCCACACCGAGCGUAGUAACUAACCUCGCUAUGGAGUGGCGCGGGCGCCUGCCGUAAAACCCCCAAUUUCACAAGGUUGACCUCGGAUCAGGUAGGAAUACCCGCUGAACUUAAGCAUAUCAAUAAGCGGAGGA
rnacentral:misc_RNA from 1 species